rnacentral:rRNA from 1 species
AUUGAACGCUGGCGGCAUGCUUUACACAUGCAAGUCGAACGGCAGCGCGGGCUUCGGCCUGGCGGCGAGUGGCGAACGGGUGAGUAAUACAUCGGAACGUGCCCAGUAGUGGGGGAUAGCUCGGCGAAAGCCGGAUUAAUACCGCAUACGACCUGAGGGUGAAAGCGGGUGAUCUUCGGACCUCGCGCUAUUGGAGCGGCCGAUGGCAGAUUAGCUAGUUGGUGGGGUAAAGGCCUACCAAGGCGACGAUCUGUAGCUGGUCUGAGAGGACGACCAGCCACACUGGAACUGAGACACGGCCCAGACUCCUACGGGAGGCAGCAGUGGGGAAUUUUGGACAAUGGGCGAAAGCCUGAUCCAGCAAUGCCGCGUGUGUGAUGAAGGCCUUCGGGUUGUAAAGCACUUUUGGCGGGAACGAAAAGGACUGUGCCAAUACCACGGUUCGAUGACGGUACCCGCAGAAUAAGCACCGGCUAACUACGUG